rnacentral:rRNA from 1 species
AUUGAACGCUGGCGGCAGGCCUAACACAUGCAAGUCGAACGAGUGGCGGACGGGUGUGUAAUGUCUGGGAACCUGCCUGCUGGAGGGGGAUAACUUCUGGAAACGGUAGCUAAUCCCGCAUACCAUCAGAUGUGCCCAGAUGGGAUUAGCUAGUUGGUGGGGGAACGGCUCCCCAAGGCGACGAUCCCUAGCUGGUCUGAGAGGAGGACCAGCCACACUGGAACUGAGACACGGUCCAGACUCCUACGGGAGGCAGCAGGGGGGAAUAUUGCACAAUGGGCGCAAGCCUGAUGCAGCCAUGCCGCGUGUAUGAAGAAGGCCUUCGGGUUGUAAAGUACUGUCAGCGGGGAGGCGUUACCCGCAGAAGAAGCACCGGCUAACUCCGUGCCAGCCGCCGCGGUAAUUC